UACGUAGGGCGCAAGCGUUGUCCGGAAUUAUUGGGCGUAAAGAGCUCGUAGGCGGCUUGUCGCGUCGGGUGUGAAAGCUUGGGGCUUAACCCCAAGUCUGCAUCCGAUACGGGCAGGCUAGAGGCAGGUAGGGGAGAACGGAAUUCCCGGUGUAGCGGUGAAAUGCUUAGAUAUCGUCAAGAACACCGAUAGUGAAGACAGCUUACUAGGCUGCAACUGAUGCUGAGGCACGAAAGUGUGGGGAUCAAACAGG
rnacentral:rRNA from 1 species